UUUAUAAAAAGUUAAAAGUAAUAAGUAAUAGUUAAAAUCACAGUUUUACUUUGUAAAUUUUUGUGAUGCUGUUUUUCCAGAUGACUAUAAGGAAGCUAGACGUAAACUACCUCUUGCUGUUGAUCACACAGACAUUGAUCAGACCGAUGGAGGAGACUCACCAAUUACAUUUCAAAGAAAAAGAAUACCCAAGAACAUUCUUUUCCCUGGAGAAGACGACGACGAUGAUAAUGCGAUGGAAGAGCACCUGAAAGAACCAAAAUCAAGAAAAGGAAGGUAUUCUAUACCCGAUGCUCUGAAAAUUGCUAGACAUGCCAACAAAUUAGACACAGGAAAGCCAAACUGCCCUAAGAUCUUCCACAGUACUCUUGACCUCCGCAAUGAUGAGAUGGAAGGCAUUAAAGGAACAAAGUCCAAAAAAAAGAGGUAUGCCUUACCUAAUGCUCCAGUGAUCUGUAGGGAACAGAUUUCUCCUGCAGUAGACAACCUCCACCUUAGUGGCCAAGGCAGAACUGACCUUCGUCCACGCGAUCAUAGCAGUCCUGAUGUUAGCCCACA